rnacentral:rRNA from 1 species
UACGUAGGGUGCGAGCGUUAAUCGGAAUUACUGGGCGUAAAGGGCGCGUAGGCGGUCAGCACAAGUCAGUUGUGAAAUCUCCGGGCUUAACUCGGAAAGGUCAACUGAUACUGUGCGACUAGAGUGCAGAAGGGGCAACUGGAAUUCUCGGUGUAGCGGUGAAAUGCGUAGAUAUCGAGAGGAACACCUGCGGCGAAGGCGGGUUGCUGGGCUGACACUGACGCUGAUGCGCGAAAGCCAGGGGAGCGAACGGG